rnacentral:rRNA from 2 species
UGGGGAAUAUUGCGCAAUGGGGGAAACCCUGACGCAGCAACGCCGCGUGAAUGAUGAAGGCCUUCGGGUUGUAAAGUUCUGUCUUCUGGGACGAUAAUGACGGUACCAGAGGAGGAAGCCACGGCUAACUACGUGCCAGCAGCCGCGGUAAUACGUAGGUGGCAAGCGUUGUCCGGAUUUACUGGGCGUAAAGGAUGCGUAGGCGGACAUUUAAGUCAGAUGUGAAAUACCCGAGCUUAACUUGGGUGCUGCAUUUGAAACUGGGUGUCUAGAGUGCAGGAGAGGUAAGUGGAAUUCCUAGUGUAGCGGUGAAAUGCGUAGAGAUUAGGAAGAACACCAGUGGCGAAGGCGACUUACUGGACUGUAACUGACGCUGAGGCAUGAAAGCGUGGGGAGCAAACA